GCUGAAUGUACCAGGAGUUUCUAUUGGUCGGUUUGACUUGUCUCUCGGUAUCUGCAUCAUCUAAACACAGACGGGAGGUUACGGUGACAUGGAGGUAAGUUGACUGCUGUUUUGUCAAAAUUAUUUUAAAUAUAGCAGCACUUCACUUUGUUCUCAUGUUGUUAGUGUCGUGGAGUCUCUUUUUAAGAACGACAUGGAGGGCUGCUGUGUUGACAUGUAGCCCCACUGUGGGCUAACGUUACAUGCCCCUGAGGCAUGACUAUGUUAGCUAAGGUUAGCUACACAUGUAUGACACAAUUUAAAACAAAUCCUAUGAGCUUGGUUCUCUGCGACCGAGGUAGGUACAGAUAACGACACUGUAGCUAAAAACGACAUGCGUCUUAUGACUACACUGGACAGACACCGAAGAAAACUUUUACUACUUCUGCCACCUCUGCUUGAAACGUCCCUUUAUUUGUUCAAACGCACCACCUUGUGGCGGAAGCUGUGCAGUACACACACAUACAUGAUAGUAGAUAAAUUGGCAAUUAUGAACGCAGGGAAAACUCUGGGAAAAUACUUUAAAUCAGUGUAUUUUAGAUCACAUAUAUGCCUCGCGUGGAAAUUAACAUGCAUGUGCUACAACUCUAUUAUUUUUAUUCAUAGGUUCUUCUUGUAUGCAAUUGUAAAUAAACCUAUUAAAUUAGUUUAAUUGAUUAACACAAAAAUAUUAAGUUUUGGGUUCCUGCUAACAAGUACGAAUCAUGUAACAGUAAAAGGUACCCAAAAUAUUCAACAUAAACACUAUUGUAAGUAACAUUAUCAGUUGACCCCAUACAAAGGCUUGUAUCAUUUGAUACUUGAUAAUUAACAAAAUUGUACCACUUGUGCAUUUAUAAUAAGCUCGAGAGAGUAAAAUAGUGACACAAAACGCAUUAAACUUACAUUUAAAUGUGUCUGUGUAUUAUGGAGGGGUUCUGUAUAUUUGUUAAAUCAUUCCAUUGUUUAGUUUGUUGGCAAUGACUGGCUUUUCUUGUUAUACGAUAUGACUAUAUGGUCUGUGUAUUUAUAAUAAUCCAGUGUGGUCAUAAUUCCCUUUUCUACAGAAUGGAACCUCUUCCACAAAGAGCUUUUGUUCAGGUAUGUUGACCUCUCUCCUCAAAAUGUAAUUUAUCUGUAUAUACACAUCUAAACAUGUUUUGAUACCACUGCUCUAAUAAAUUUCUAUUUUGCUAAAUUCCCUCUUACAGGAAUGCAUUAGCAGGUGGCUUUUAUGCAGGGUCAGGGAUCGGCUUUCUGCAGUAGUCACAAGGGAGCCAAUUGAUUUUGAUUACCUGCACAUGGUUAUCUCUCAGGAAUUGCAGUUUCUUCGAGCAGGGGCAGCCUAUAUGGAUAUUCCUCAGUGUGUAGUAGAUGGUUUACAAAAUCUAAGUGAAGUGAUCAAGUCUCACAUUUCAAACAGCACUGUUGCUCCAUUACUUGACAGUGUAGCUGUAGUUGAAUGGAAUGGUACUGUGGGUCGACCAAAAUUUAGCAUUAAUACCCAAGUCCUUGAAAAUCUUCUAAGCAUGAACCUACCAAUGACCACUCUGGCUACUGCCCAUGGCAUUUCAAGAUCCACACUUUACAGGAGGAUCAGGGAGCAUAAUCUCUCAGUCAGAAACACCUACUCUGAUAUAUCAGACAUUGUACUUGAUCAAAAGGUGAGAUCUAUCAAAGCCAAAAUGCCUGAUGCAGGAUAUCGGCUUGUAAAAGGGUCUACUGGCUAUGGGAUAUCGUGUCACAUGGAGUAGACUGAAGCUGUCCAUGCAGCGUGUCGAUGCCACUGGCAUUAUUUCAAGAAUGGUCCAGUUGACAUGCAUUGCCAGACGGACAUACUCUGUUCCAGCUCCAUUGUCUCUUGUCCACAUUGACACCAAUCACAUGUUGAUCAGGUAUUGUUUUAAAAUGAAUUACCAUACACAUUUAUUUUAAUCAAGGAUUUUAUAUCACUGUUAUAAUGUCAAAUCUUCUGAAAAUUUGAAGGUACAACAUAGUGAUUGUUGGGGGUAUUGAUGGCUUUUCCAGGAAGAUUUUCUACCUUAAUGCAGCUUGGAAUAACAAAGCAGAGACUGCUCUAGGUUUUUCAUGGAUGGUGUGCAUGGAUGGCCAUCAAGGCAAGGACCUUCUCUUUCAUACCAGGCGUAAAUAGUUUAGCUGUCCAACCCGUGUCACACUACUCUGUUUGUCUCAUUUACAGUCCGAGCUGAUCAAGGGGUGGAAAAUGUGGACAUUGCGAGAUGCAUGUUUACUGUGAGAGGAACCGGUCGUGGCAGCUUUAUUGCUGGCAAAAGUGUCCACAACCAGAGAGUGGAAUGCCUUUGGAGAGAUGUUUGGAAUGCUGUAACAUCUCAGUACUACAACUUGCUUCACAUCUUAGAGGAAGAUGGCUUCAUUGACCUUUCAAAUGCGGUUCACCUCUUCUGUGUGGGGUACGUCUUCAUUCCCUGUCUACAACAAGAUCUGCAAAAUUUUGUGGAGACCUGGAAUUACCACCCCUUAAGCACAGAGGGAAACUUGUCCCCUAAUCAGCUUUGGAGGAUUGGAACGCUACAAGUACCUGUGCCAGAGCCAGAUCUGCAGGAGAUCCUGCAAGCAGAACACUUGCAUGAUGAGGAACCUGACAGUGCUGAUCCAGAGCAUGGGGUCACUGUAGCAGAGAUGCCAUGCCCCUUGUCAGCUGAAGGUCUUGCUGCAGUGCAGCAAGUAAACCCCACCGUCGAUUCCUCUUCUUUUGGACGGGACAUCUAUAUGCAUGUCCUUCAACUAGCCUCAUUUUUUGGAUGAAGUUUGAUUGAUAUACUUGAUGCACAUCUCAUGUGCUUAUUCUAAAACAAGUAUGCACUUUUAACUAAUCACAAAUAAAGCACAGUAAAUAGAUACCUAUGUGUUUAUUUUGCUCACUCACAUUAUAACAAGGUGGCAUAAAUAGCUGCAGUAUAAAAUGAUUCUGGAACAUUUUGUUUGUUUGUUUCACUAAAGAAUAGAAAACAUAAAGAAUAAGCACAAGUGAAACACAUAACACAGAACCAUGCUCUUGCCAACAACUAUUUAACACAUUUAUCACACUCUAUCAAAUCCUGCACCAUACUUAAUGGCAGUUUGCAGGAGUGUUUUAAAGGAUUCAUAAUCUUUAAUGUGGGCUACUGGGAAUGUGAUGGUGUCUGUGCAAGCACUGACACUUGGGUAACAUACAGUGUGGUUAGGCAUGGCGUUCAGACACCAAUGAUCAAAUUUCACUGUGAGUUUGAAUGUUUGCCGAUCUUCCAAAAGCAGAUGUCUGUGAGCUUGACCAGUCAUCCACUGCAUGACUGAGGAUACAGUCAAAGCCUCUCCUGCAGUGUCGCCAUCAGUUUGUGCAUCUUGAAGAGAAAUACAAAGUGUAGACCAGAAUAAAUCUCUCCAGUCAUUUUAUAUGCAAACAGUUAAAUAUGAUGCUCAUUAAUGGUAUAGAAUUUGGGUGGAAAUCUAAACUUUCAAUCACAAAUAAUUAUUUUAAAUGAAUGGUUGGACAUACCGUCAAGUUCUAGGAGGAAAUCUUGGAAGUGCUCCAAGAUUUUUGAUUCCUUCACUUGCUUACUUGAACCACUUACACUCAACUCCGGGGCCAGAUGGGACAUGAUGUAAUGUGAGUCCACCUACAUUUCAAACAUAGUGAUACACAAUGAGAUUUCUCAAAACUUAACUAGUUAAGAAGCAGAAUGGAAGUUCUGGAAAUACUAUGUUGUACAACUAGUACAACACUCAAAGCAAUACUCGUGCAUACUGAGUCGUCGUCUCUGAAGAUGAAGAGACUGCAACACUCUUCUGGCUUUGUCUGCAUCACUUUGAUGAGGUCAUAUACUUUCAGGCCCUCACGCAGUUGCUGAAGCAUGGGCAUGCAUUUAGUCUUCACAUGAAGUCGAAUCGCCCUGAAUACAGAAAAAAUGAUUUAAAGGAAAGGAAAUAAUCUCCAAGUCAAGCUGUCCAGGUGUAGUAGUUAAGACUUUAGGGCAGCGGGCUCAGGAAAAUGGCCUUGAACAAGGCUUUGCUACUACAUGUAGACAACGAUAUACAUUUCCUUUUAACCCUACAUGGACAUGUCAAUAAAAUAAAUUUUGAGCAUUUUAAUUGGAGUGCCUUGGCCUCUAGCUCAUUUCUCUUUACUCAAAAUAAAUGUUUCACAUUCACAGUAAAUUCCCCAGUGUCAAAUAUGCAUUGUCAAAGUAUAUGGACUCUUUCAGAGUUAUUACAACAACGGCAAGAGUAAUUACUACCAAUUUAUCGGCCAGUGUUAGUGAAAAUAAUCAGAGUUAAACUUUUCAGUGUAUAAUAUACAGUGUCAAAGUUCAUUGACUAUUUUAGAGUUACAAACCUUCCCUUUGAGUGCAUGGGCCCUCCUACAAUGAUUCACUUUAAAGCCAAUUAGUUUAAAUUAAUAGUUUAUUUUCUGUCUGUUAAACUGAAUAAGCACUUUUCAAAGUAACGUGAGCGUUAUAUUGCUGUCUAAUUACAUUCAGUCAUUUUAAUGUGUGUUUGACAAAAGCUAGUUAGUGUUAAAUUUAACUUCAGUGUUGUCUCAGAAUGAAUUGUGUUGUAGGUCAUAAUGUGAUUUCACUUUUGCUGUUUUUACAGAUACCAUCAUGUGAUUAAAAUAAAAAUCGUCGUUUCACAGUUGGAAAAAUCUGCGUUGGCCAAGAAACCUGGUGGAGACCAUAUUGUCAAGGAACACAACCGGACGAAAGGUGACUGAAGCUCUGAGGUAAUUUAGAUAUCUCUUCUUCAAGCACAUCUGUUCUUCUACGCUUGUGGGAAAGAUAUAUAUAUUUAUUUUAGGGCUGUACUCAACUCAGAACUGUGUCUGUUAAAUUGGAUGUGGCUGUUCAAUACGAAGAAUUGUUUGUUUGUACAAUUUCUGCCAGCAAGACUCGAGUCAUUUGUAUUUUCCUAUGAUUUUUCUGCAUUUACUGUGGUUAAAAUAGAGUUAUUGUUCUUCAACUUAGAGACAACUUUCUAUCAUCUGCCAAGAUACUAAUAAAUUCCAACCAAGACCUUUACAAUAGAGCCAUGAGGGCUGUCACUUUAAAAUAUUGUAUCUGUAACUAUAUGUUUUAAUACCAAAUUUGAGUGCAGUUAGAUUUACACCAUGAGCAGAUAAAUUGAAAUAAAGGUAGAAAUCUGUGAAUCUCUCCUUUUGAAAAUGUAAUUCAAACACCUGCUGGUAUAGAAGACUAUCUGUGGCAAAUCAAAAAUCCAAUAUUAAAUCUAACUGCAGUCAAAUUUGAUAUAACAUAUAGUUACAGAAUUAGUAUUUCAAAUAAAAAAUUACAACCCUAUGAUUUUAGUUUUUCUCAGUUUUCCCAGCAACAGUACAAUGUCUGAAGGCAGCAGAUGAUCAGAAUAUUUAAAGCCAAAAUAACAUCCCAACUCUUUCAGUGGCCAAUUAGAUUUUUGUUUGAAUUGCUUGGUAGAUUGCAGAUGAUAGCAAAGUUUGUUCUAAGGUGAAAAGGACUUGAAUUGUACUCGGAUGUGUGUAUCCUCUAAAUGCACUGUAAACACAGUUUUCAGUGUUUACAGACAUUGUUAAGAUUGUACUAUUCUAAAUAUACCAUGUCUUUUAAGAACAAUGUCUUUUUUCCAUCUUUGAAACUGAAAGUGAUGUUUAAUUGUUGCACAAUGUAGCACAAAUGGGAGUUACACGUGCAUCUCUAAACUGAUAAUGAAAAAUUGUAUGCAAACUAAAUGUUUUUUUAUUUUUAAUAAGUUGUUAUUAAGAUAUGGAUAUAAUGGUGUUUGUUGUUUUUUCCCCUGCAAACAUUUUUUGUUUUAUUGUUUGAAGUGUUAGCUGACAUGGUGAAGUAGAAAAUGCAAAACUCUUAAAAGUGUUCUUUUGAAGAGUUAAAAAGGAGUAAAUUGAAAAUAAGGUGUUGGGUAAGAAUUACACUAAGGGAGUAAAUAUGUUUUAACACUGGCAGGAGUCAGUUGAAAAGCAACACUGUAUUUGGAGUAAUUUCUUAAUCAACACUUAGUGUCAAGUAGGUCCAACACUCAUGAAGGGUAACUUAAUUAUAGUUAAUUUUGAUUAACACUCAAAAAGUCAGAGUGUCAAAUUUAAAUAACACUACGAGUGUUAUUUACAUCAUAGUGUCAAAUUUGAGUAAAACUUCUCAGUGUAGUGUAGUGUAAAAUAUGAACUCUAACCAGAGUUAAAUUGACUCUCAAAAUGUAACACAGUAUCCAGUGUAGCUUUAACACUCUGUAGAUAGGCACCAUAUGUUCACUGAAUCAGUGUUAAAAUUGACUCUUUAAGUGUUGCAUUGACACUGUCGAUUUUACUGAAGCCAAAGAGCACCCUAGAAACAAUAACCGAUUAUCAUUAUCCUUAAAUUUCUCAAAGAAAAAAUAAACCACACAAGGCCUAUGAUUAUCUGAGGCCACACUACAAUGUGUUACAUCAGCAGUAAUAUUUGAUAUUGUGUGAAUACCUUAAUAUGUUUUCUUUAUGCUCCAUGUCAACUUUGCCUGUGUAGCCACAAUCCAGAAUGGCUUGGAUGUGAGGAGUCAUGUCAGAAGCAUCUUCAAUCUUAAAUAAUCAUACCAAAAAUAUUAAAUUGUACUUUAAUGCUUUGCAUUCACAACACAUUAUACAAUUUCCCAGGAUACCACAGUCCAUGGUUUACAGCUGAAUAGACCAACAUGAAAUUGUUGCAUCAUUUGUCCUGUAAAGUGCCUUAAUAAGGUUGAGAAAAUCCAAAAAGGAGUGCAAAGGGUGUACACUAUAAAAAACACAUGAAUGAACUAAAGUUAAGCUGCUAAAAGAAAAAAAAUACAAGCGAUGAGAAUUUUGUUACUCUGAUAUGGGCAGGAAGUAAAAAAGGUUCUCUAUACAAUACAUUAAAGUAGCAGCAAAUCACCGUGUGCCUUGCUUUUUCCACAUAGCCAGAGAAGCUAUAAAUGCUUUUUGUGCAUGGCAGUGCAUAUAAGCGAGCCCCACGGCCGCCGCUCUGCACUGCUCUGCACUGCUCUCAUACGGCAGUUACAGCUGAUAACGACGGCGUUGGCGCGGAGGGGUAGCGCCCACCCUCCAGUUCCCCCUCAGGUAAACACUGUUAGCUCCAUCAGCGCUUUCGCCGUAGUUUGAACUGAAAGCUCUGUUAGCGUCGUUGGCGCCGUUAGCUGCUAGCAGCCAGCUCAGCCGUCGCCAUGUUGAGAGCCUUAUUUGAUGAGUUGGGAGUGUUAACGUGUUGUCAGCGAACAUUUUGCUGAUACGUUUAGUGUCGGCCUUUCUGCGAUUUGGCAAAUACAUUACCCAAAGUUAAUGUCAUUCACCUGCAUGUGGACGGAAUUUCUGGGGUUUGGAGGAAGAUCAUGGGAUGUAAUUGAAAGGUCCAGAAAAAGCUAUUAGUGGACCUUUUCUUUAUCAAACACAAAUCCACGUUUUUUAUUAAAAUAAAACCUAAUCCCAAUAAAGAUUCAGGCACGGUAUAUUGUAGAACAAUGUAUUUAUUGAUAUACUGGCGUUGCAUAUUGAGCUAAAGCUCUGAGACUGAUCUGACAUCAGCCAUCUGUCACCUGAUGGAAUAAUUGCUCUUAUGACACCAGCCUGUGCUUGUUUACAACCUCCACUGUGAAUGACCUUUUGCUCUCUCAUAAAUACUUUGAUAAUAAUACCGUGCAGGCACAACAGCUAAGUUACCAGCGAUUCAUAUUGAAAGCUAAAUGAAACCUCCGAGGUCAGGUGGUGUCUGCGCAGUGGGAGGUGUGAAUGGUUAUUAAUGUGAUAACCAUGAGCACAUGGCUCACUGAUGAGCUGAACAGGUUCACAGUAACAGUCUGGCUGACAGUCACGAGGUGGCAUCAUACUCGUUUCCUAUGGUAAAAAGUGCAGCAUGUGUGUGUGUGUGGCAGCUUAUAUAUACUGGUUUGGCAAGGACGUAAUGGAUUACAACGGCCCAUUGCUGUUACCAUGGCAAUAAUUGCCAACAGUAGAGGCGCGCACCUGGCACUUUCAGGUUAAUGGCACAUCUGUACAGAUGUUUGUUCAGCUCAGUCCUCAGAUCUCACUUGUGUUUUUUGAUCUAUGCUGAAGUCCUGCAUCUGGGCUUCGUGCUCAGUUAGUCUCCAUGGAAAAUCUACGAGGAGACUCAGCGGAUGAGUGAAGGUGGACCGACAGAAGCAGAGACGGGUCGUUGAUGUUCAUGAUCAGUGCUCGAGAUCUAUUCUUUAUGUAAAGAGCGGAGGUAGGCACCGUGACGUCACCCUUUGGUUUGUGGACUAGUUUUGAAGCCACAAGUUCCUGUCACACAUGACAGCAACACCUACGGCUCUGCACUUAGGAUUUGUUAGCAACAAAAAUAAAGAAUAACACCAUCAUUUAACCUUGUCUCUGAAUAAUGUGUAAGUGCAGAUUAGCUGUAGUGACAUGACUUAUAUUACCCUGUACAUAGUAGAUCAAAUACAGAACUCGCUGCAGUGAUGAUGUACCUGCUAAUUAUCCCAAUAUUGCAAGAAAGCAACCUCUUUUGUUUUCUGCCUUACGAAACAUUUUUGUUACGCAUUUAUUAUGUUUGAAUGGAUUUACACACACGAUGAGUCGCUUAGCUCCAGCAGCAUGGGGGUACUCAGGUAUGUUAGUGCUUGGCUGUGUGUCAGGAUAAGGUGUAGCCAAAUGAUUUCAGUAGUUCCUGGCUGUCACUGCCACGACGGAUCCCAGAUGUUGAUGCUGUUCCAAGCCACCUGCUCAUACCGCCCUCACCAGCCCACCUGAUGUGGUUGCAUGAGGUACUUUAUCCAGAGUCAAGCUACUCAUGCAUGAGCGGAAGCGUUUAUACUCUGUGCGCUGUUUCGUUGCAUUAUUCUCCGAAACGCCAGAAGGCAUACAAACUAAAUUAAUUGUAAAAAAAAAUGGACAAGUGUAACUCAAAUAUGCCAUAGACUGUAAUAACCUGCAAAAUGCAUGAAACCGACCUCCACAAUGGCGAAAGAGAGUGUAAUGAUCGGUAACCUCUGUCAAAAAAAAAGAGGA